rnacentral:lncRNA from 1 species
UGAAUGCUUUCUUGACUUAUACCCCCCUCCCAAAUCUUCCAAUCCUUCCUGCCUCCACCAUUAAUUUGACUUUGUUAUUUCCUGCUAUGAUUUGUGAUGGUUUUGUGUUUGUGUCCUAUAAAAGGAAACCUAAGUAGUGUUUCUUCAGGUUUAACAUCAAUGCCUUACCUAGAAUAAAAGUCUAAAAAAUAUUAACUGAUAGAUUUUCUUCUUCUCCCCAGUCUGAAUUAAUCUCUCCUGCCCCAGGAUUAUACCUAGAAUAUCAUUUACUACAAUGUGCCUUUAUUACAGUGAUGUGUGUGUGUGUGUGUGUGUGUGUGUGUGUGUGUAUAACAGACAAAGUUUUGAUUUCAAAGAGGACAAGGAUCAGAAGAAAGGAGCUGCAUAGGUAUGUAAGGCACAAUAAAGCUGCUAGACUUAAACUGACCCUUCGAAACAAAAUUAUUAGGAAAUGAACAAAAAUUCAGGUGAAAAACCACAAAGACAAUUUUAGAGAAUGUGAAAAACAAGAAGAAAACGUUAAAAUAAAAGUCCCUGCAGCAGGAUGUGAAUAUGGCAGAGAAUCCAGGCUGAUUCGAACCUUACCCAGGGUCCUACCAGUUCCUUAGCCAAGAAGAACCAGAGACAAGUACAAGGUUAUUAUAGAUCCUUCAAGGUCAUUGUAUUUUGAAACUACAUGUUUCUCAUUCUUGAGUAUGGAUUCCAAUUUCUCAACUAAACAGAAAGGAAGAAAAUGCAACCAUUUUGCAUUCCCUUUCCCUCCUCCUCCUGCAGGACUAAAUGUCUGUCACGCCUGCUGAGUUCCUCCAACAGGAAUGUGGACCCACAGGGGAAAGCAGUGGAGCUUACCUGGAGCAUUACUGGCGCAGCUUUGGAGAAAAUAAAAGUCAGUAAGUGAUUGAAUGACCUAUUAGUGAAUUAUAUACAAAUAUUGUAAAGCACCACAUUCUCUAGAUUCAUGAUGUUUGAUUCCAAUACAGGAGAAGAAAUAGGAGGGAAGGCAAAAUUAAAUAAAAAGCCAAUCAGACAGAAACAGAAACAAACCAAAAGAACCUAAUCACCAAGAAAGUGUGUCAAGAGCUCUUCUUAAGCUUGGAAAUUCCUGCAGAAUAAUAUACAACCUUGAAUAUCUUAUUCCUUUAAAUCUGGAAAAACUAAAAGAGUAAGAAGAUAGCUCCUAAUCUUUAUCUUUUCUAUUACUGCUUAACUAAUUUUAGUCAGCAAAAUUAAGCAACUUUUAUUUGCUUGGCAAGUGAAUAAAAAAGAGAACUUUAAAGCAGUUGAAGCUUUAAGCUUUCAUUGAAAGUUACAGGUAGCUGCCAAAGGAAAAUCUUAUCUGUUGAAAAAGCAAGUUCAGCACUUAGCUGUAGAGCUAUGAAAGUCUGAAGAUAAGAAGAUGUGGUAUCAUUUAAUUAACAGCCACCCAAUGAUGUCUCAAAAGAGAUUAAUUCUGCUUCUUAAGAAGUUAAGACCAACCUUGGUCUCUACCAAAAAACACAUUUUAACCUAUGUUGUGCUUUUUCUUUCUUCCUCCCCCAUUUUUCCAUUCCUUAGAUAUGUUUAUAUUCUCUCCCUAUGCCUUGCUCCUUCUCUCUCUUCUUUUUCCUCAAUAAAAUCAGUCUUUUAACUUAAAAAGAAAGCACCCGUUUUCAGUUGCUCAAGAUAUUUUUAGAAGGUAUAAACUUUAUUUUUAUAGAGAAAAGCAGUGCUCACUUUGUUAAGAACAUAAAGGGAAAUCAACUAAUUCAAAUUUAUAAUUUCAAUGAAAGAAAAGAGUGUUCUAAUAUCUGACAGGGUAAUAAAUAUAAAAAAAAAUUUGCUACAGUGAUGAAACCAAAAAGGGGAUUUUCAACUAAAACAUAAAUGAAAUUGCCACAUCAAAAUAUCAUAUUUAUAUAAAAAUACAUAGUGAAGAAAGAUGAAUAAAAGUCUUACAAGUCCACAAAAGUAGAAAAUAUAAAAUAUAAUAAUAUAAUAUACCGAGUCAGGAAAAAAUAUAGCAUGUCACCCCAAAUUUUGUCUAUCUUCCUUCUUCCCUAUUUGCCUGCUUCCUUUCUUCAUCCCCUUCAGGGUUUCUAACCUUGUUGAAGAUGCUUCCUGGGAGUACAAAACAUUCAAUACCAUUUAUAUGCACAUAUAGCAGAGAAUUCCACUGAAAUGGGGUUUUUAAAAAAGAUUAAUAAAGCCUGAAAUGGAGCAAUAGAUAUUUCAGUAUUUGAGUGACAACAAAAGUAGAUGUCUGUAUAAAUCAGAGAGAGAUUCCUCUCCUGAGACAUGAUUCAAUACACUGUAUUGGAAAGGUAUUAUAGUUAGGCUCAAGAAAGAGUGAAUUACGGUGACAAAAAGAGAAGCUUCAUCCAGUAACCUACUUUUGUGGAUGUGAAUCAACAUGAUACUAAUAAAUACAUAGAGCAAAACCACAGUCUGGAUAACUCUUAAGCACACAGAGACCAUAGUAUAGGAGAAACAAGUAAUGAAAUUCAAUUUAGCCACUAGAGUAUUUCCCAGAGCCAAGCAUAAUUUUUUAAAAUACGUGAAUUUCCUUCCUUCCUUACACUAAGUAUUGGGUUUAGUAAAAUUGGCUAGAUAUACUCCCCAAUUUAUCCCUUCUCAAUACACAGGGCAAUCCUACAGCUUCCAAAUGGAAAGAGAAUAAGAUUGAGUGCCUAGCAAGUGUUAGAAAUUUUUACUUAACUAACAGAAUAUUUCCUGUUUAUAUUCAUAUACAUAUACUUAUAUAUUUAUGUUAUAUAUCUAUAUCUCUAUUGAUAAAAGUAAUAGUUUUUAUACAAAUAUUAAAGAUGACUAGUAAUACUACUAAGCCCAAUAAUAUAACUAUAGACAUCCUAGAGCGUAUAAACUUUAAAAAUAUUCAUGGUGUCCUAAUUUUUUUUAAUUUAAUUUAAUUUACAUUCAAUUAAUUAUCAUAUCAUGUAUUAUUCAUUUCAGAGGUAGAUCUCAGUAAUUCAUCAGUGUAUAUAACACCCAGUGCUCAUUAAUAUUACAUGCCCUCCUUAAUGCCCAUCACUCAAUUACCCAAUCCUCUCACCUCCCUCCCCUCCAGCAACCAUCAGUUUGUUUCCAAUGAUUAAGAGUCUCUUUAUGGUUUUUCUCACUCUCUGAUUUCAUUUUGUCUUAUUUUUUCCUUCCUUCCCCUAUGAUCUCCUGGGGAGAUCUUAAAUUCUUAAAUUCCACAUGAGUGAGAUCAUACAAUAACUUCCUUUCUCUGAUUGACUUAUUUCACUUAGCAUAAUACCCUCUAGUUCCAUCCAUGUCAUUACAAAUGGCAAGAUUUCUUUUUUUUGAUGGCUGAGUAGUAUUCCAUUGUGUGUGUGUGUGUGUGUGUGUGUGUGUAUAUAUAUAUAUAUAUAUAUAUAUAUAUAUAUAUAUAUAUAUAUAUAUAUACACAUAUAUGCCACAUCUUCUUUAUUCAUUCAUCUGUCACUGGACAUCUGGGCUUUUUCCAUAGUUUGGCUAUUGUGGACAUUACUGCUAUAAACAUUGGGAUGCAGGUGCCCCUUUGGAUCACUACAUUUGUAUCUUUGGGGUAGAUACCUAGUAGUGCAAUUGCUGGGUCAUAGGGUAGCUCUAUUUUCAACUUUUUGAGGAUCCUCCAUACUGUUUUCCAGAGUGGCUAUACCAGCUUGCAUUCCCACCAGCAGUGUAAGAGGGUUCUCCUUUCUCCAGAUCCUCACCAACAUCUGUUGUUUCCUGACUAAUUAAUGUUAGCCAUUCUGACUGGUGUGAGGUGUUAUCUCACUGUGGUUUUGAUUUGUAUUUCCCUGAUGCCAAGUCAUGUUGAGCAUUUUUUCAUGUAUCUGUUGGCCAUUUGUAUGUCUUCUUUGGAGAAACGUCUGUUUAUGUCUUCUGCACAUUUCUUGACUGGAUUAUUUUUUCUUUGGGUGUUAAGUUUGAAUAGUUCUCAGUAGAUUUUGGAUACUAUCCCUUUAUUUGAUAAGGCAUUUGCAAAUAUCUUCUCCCAUUCUGAUUUUGCUGACAGUCUCCUUUGCUGUGCAAAAGCUUUUCAUCUUGAUGAAGUGCCAAUAGUCCAUUUUUGCCUUUGUUUCCCUUGCCUUGGAGAUGUGUCUAGCAAGAAGUUGCUGGGGCCAAGGUCAAAGACAUUGCUGCCUGCGUUCUCCUCUAGAAUUUUAAUGGAUUCCUGUCUCACAUUUAGGUCAUUAAUCCAUUUUGAGUUUAUUUUUGUGUUUAGUAUAAGAAAAUGGUCCAGUGUCAUUGUUCUGCAUGUGGCUGUCCAAUUUCCCCAACACCAUUUGUUGAAGAGACUGUUUUUCUUCCAUUGGAUAUUCUUUCCUACUUUGUCAAAGAUUAGUUGACCACAAAGUUGAGGGUCCAUUUCUGGGUUCUUUUUUCUGUUCCUUUGAUUUUUGUGUCUAUUUUUGCACCAGUACCAUACUGUCUUGAUGAUUACAUCUUUGUAAUAUAGUUUGAAGUCUGGCAUUGUGAUGCCACCAGCUUUAGUUUUCUUUAUCAACAUUCCUUUGGCUAUUUGGGUGUCCUUUCUGGUUCCAUACAAAUUUUAGGAUUAUUUAUUCCAGCUCUGUGAUAAACAUUAAUGGUAUAUUGAUAGGGAGUGCAAUGAAUGUGUAGAAUGCUCUCGGUAGCAUUUUCUUUUAUUGGAAAAACAAAUAUUGUUAAAAUAUUUGGAAGAACAAAUUUUAACAAUAUUUGUUCUUCCAAUCCAUGAGCAUGGGAUGACCCAUUUCUUUGUGUCUUCCUCAAUCUCUUUCAUGAGUGUUCUAUCAUUUUUAGACUACAGAUCCUUUGUCUCUUUGGUUAGGCUUAUUCCUAGGUAUCUUAUGUUUUUGGCACAAUUGUAAAUGGGAUAAAUUCCUUAAUUUGUCUUUCUUCUUUCUCAGUAUUAGUGUAUAGAAAUGCAACUGGGGGCAGCCCCGGUGGCUUAGCAGUUUAGCACCACCUUUAGCCCAGGACCUGAUCCUGAAGACCCAGGAUCGAGUCCCAUGUCAGGCUCCCCGCAUGGAGCCUGCUUCUCCCUCUGCCUGUGUCUGUGUGUGUGUGUGUGUGUGUGUGUGUGUGUAUCUCAUGAAUAAAUAAAUAAAAUCCUUAAAAAAAAAAAAA